UAUCUCGGGCUCUUGCAUCGAUGAAGAACGUAGCGAAAUGCGAUACUUGGUGUGAAUUGCAGAAUCCCGUGAACCAUCGAGUCUUUGAACGCAAGUUGCGCCUGAAGCCAUUAGGUUGAAGGCACGUCUGCCUGGGCGUCACGCAUUGCGUCACCCACUCCCCGUGCCUUAGCGGGCAU
rnacentral:rRNA from 1 species